UACGUAGGGGGCAAGCGUUGUCCGGAAUCAUUGGGCGUAAAGCGCGUGUAGGUGGCCCCCAUAAGUCCGCUGUGAAAGUCAAAAGGCUCAACCUUUGAAAAGCCGGUGGAUACUGUGGGACCAGAGUACGGAAGAGGCGAGUGGAAUUCCUGGUGUAGCGGUGAAAUGCGCAGAUAUCAGGAGGAACACCUAUUGCGAAGGCAGCUCGCUGGGACGCAACUGACGCUGAGACGCGAAAAGCGUGGGGAGCAAACAGG
rnacentral:rRNA from 1 species